GGGUUGUUAGCUCAGUUGGUAGAGCAGCGGACUUUUAAUCCGUUGGUCGCAGGUUCAAGUCCUGCACAGCCCACCA
rnacentral:tRNA from 1 species